rnacentral:rRNA from 1 species
UACAGAGGUCUCAAGCGUUGUUCGGAUUCAUUGGGCGUAAAGGGUGCGUAGGCGGCGCGGUAAGUCGGGUGUGAAAUCUUGGAGCUUAACUCCGAAACUGCAUUCGAUACUGCCGUGCUUGAGGACUGGAGAGGAGACUGGAAUUUACGGUGUAGCGGUGAAAUGCGUAGAUAUCGAGAGGAACACCUGCGGCGAAGGCGGGUUGCUGGGCCGACACUGACGCUGAGGAGCGAAAGCCAGGGGAGCAAACGGG